CGGCGCUUGCUAGCGGUAGCCAGUCGGAGGAGACGGGCGAGUUCGCGGCCGCAUGUGGUCGGCGCGGCGUCGGUGAGUUAAACGCAGAGCACAGUUGGCGUGUGGCGGCUCUCCAUGAGGUGGUCGGGGCCAGCACCCAGCAGAGCUUGCGGCGGCUCGGGUGUGACGGCGCACGCGAGGCUGCACGGCGUAUUGAUGUCCAGACUCGGGUGUGGCAUGCAUCUCACGUGGCGGCCGGCUUGGUGCAGCGCGACGAUGAAUUGAGGACGAUGGAGAGUGCAAAAAGAAGCGACGGAUGUAAGAAGUUGAGCAGACAUGCUGUGUUUAAUACUACAGCAAGGAGAUCAGCAUGUCCAGCAGCCGGGUGCACAUGGUGUGGCGAACGGCGGCAGCACCUGAUGGUGAGCAGCAGCUAUCGAGUUCUAUAAUCGUUAGGCUUUGCUAUCAGCUCUGUUCUUUCCAAGGGAUCUCUGGUCAUGAUUCAUUGGACCAUAGGUAAUAUACUGAGAUAAAGGACCAUAUAAAUUUUCAACAUGGGCAAACGUUAUUCCAGCAUAACUUUUUUUUGCUUUGUUUUAUGCUUAUGUUUUAUGAUUUAUGCUCCUGUGAUGUAUGAUAUAUAUGUAUAGUUGUGGGAUUAGAUUUGCAAAUAUCCGCAAAACAAUUAUGAACGUAUGCUCGAUCUAUUUAUUUAGUUUUCACUAUGAUGAUUUUCCAUGUUCAUUAUUUCAUUUGUACAAUGCACGCAUGAUGUUCAUUAUUUUACUUUGUCCGUUAUUUUCAUAGGCACACUUAACAUCUUCUAAGUUUAGAAAUUUAUACUGUAAUAAUAAUAUCUCAGAUUUCCCUCCUUGAAUUUCUUUGUGUAUUAUAUCUCGCUAGAUUGAUCCUCUUCGAAUUUCUUAGGUUGUUUUGUCCUCCAAUUUACUGAAUGCAAUCAAGGAUUUUUUUUAACACCAAGAAGCAAUAAUUAUGUUUCGUAUACAUCAACGAUUUAUUUUGCACAUAUGUUGUAUGUCAUCCGGAUAAAACAAAAUUAUGCUGGCAUUUACAUUAAAAUCAACAAACACAAAAGUUUCCCCCAUUGAAACUAUAAUAAGCAUCUGCUCUGUUUUCAUCUCGCAUUAAUCAAAUUUCACAAACUAAUAUACAUGCCAGCAAGUAGUUUGACUUCAUGUGCGACAUGGACGCACCCCACAUAUCCUUGGGGAUGAAUAACUCAAGUUGUUUCUUCGCUAGCUUUGAUGCCAAGCCCCAGGCCCUCUUUGGUUCCUCGGGCAGAGCCAAACAGUACGGCCUCUGCCCUGCGUACACUUGCUCCAUAAUCAGGGCCAUCUGGAGACUGAGAGGCUCAUAUCUGAUAAAACAGUGCCAUUCAUGUAGUAAGAUUGCAUAAUUAUAAGUACUGUAAUCAAGAGCAAAUUGAAAUAAUAUAUAAAUUUUUGUCCCUAUGAAAUACAGUGCGUACUGUCAAAUGUUUUGAUAUUCAAAUAUAUUUUGAAAGGGAUUUUGUGCUAUUCGAAAAUUUUGAAAAAUAAUUUUCACAUGAGAAAUUUUAUUGAUUUCCUUAAAUACCCACGCGUUCCUGAGCACGGUGCAACGCUCGGCGCCCCACACGGUGCUACGUGAGUGUGGAAGCAUGCGCAGCCAUCCGGGCACUAGCGCAACAAAAUCUACGUGUCACCUAGCUUGCCGGAGCGCCACGGCGUGCAUGGCCAGCAGGGCACUAGCGCACACAAUGAGAUCGACUAGAAGCAUAUGGACAUUUGCAAAGGUGUUGGUUUGGUAGAUUUUCGCAAGAUUAGUUCUAUUAGUAGAAUCGUCAUGCAACAACUGAAUUUAAACUUGAACAUGGAUUCAAUAGGGGCAGGGCCUGCAUGUACUAAAACAUUAUUCCAUUUAGUCAUAGUCAAUGGAUAUAUUUCUGUUAUUUGGCAGUAGUAUAUGAGGUUUGAGAGGGCAUAAUUUUCUGAAAAAUAAGAUAAAAUCGAAAUUAUCACCGGAAUGGAGUGAACAUUUUCAUGGGAGUUAACUUUCCUUUGAUGUAAUGUUGAGGGUUACUACUUCAAUCAUAUAAUUGCUCUAUGUAGAAGGUUCAUGUGCAAUAACAAAAUUUGGUGAUACUCUUUAUUAGUAAACCACUUCCAUUAUAAUGGUAUGAUUCAUUUGAUAGUUUGUACCGCCUCAAGAGAAAGUUCAGUAGUGUACUCCUAGCAUACAAUUGGAGAUAUUUAAAUCUGAAAGCGUCAGGAAAUAAUAUAACGAUGUACUUCUUUCAGUGAAUUUUCAAAGCGGUCCAAUCGUCACACAAGCAUUACUAGGAUAAAUGCUUAAUUUAUUUUGAAUUUUUCUAUUUUCCGAGAAACAAGUGAAGUGAGAAAAAUGUACUUUCAUAGUAGAUUGAUUUUUGAUAUUGUUUUAGCUAAAGAGAAAAGCAUUGCAGCAUGUAGUAUCUACAAUAAGCUGUGCUAUUUUUUCUGAUUAUAUCAAGGGAGAAUACAAGUGCACUAUUAUCAUUGCUAAUUGAUUGAUUUAAUGUUUUGAUACACUUCUUUGUUUUUGGUGCAAAUAACUACUAACUUAGCACAUAGUUCUCUUCCUCGAUACAUGUUAUUUAUGUAUUUCUCUAUUCACUAUCAAAGAAUCUGUUGCUCCGGCUGUGCAAUGAUCAACCAAAUGUUCCCACAUCUUAAGAUCAGCCCAAUGUUCCGACAUCUUAAGAAAGCAUUACCCGGAGAGAUAUUGCAGUAGGGAGGGUGGAUGGCACGUUUGUCCCUUCAAACAAGGGUAUGGUUGCAUCGAGUAUCAUGGGAAGUAUCGAUGGGGGGUCAUACGGGAUGUUGCACUGCAGGUUUCUGGUUUUCCAUCUACGUCAAGUAUAUGGGGGGGUCAUAUCGUGGCAAGUAUUGUGUAUACCCUUAUUAGACAUGAAUUGCAAUGAGAAUUUACAUAUCAGGGAAGUAUUCAUGCUUCGUGGAGUUUGGGUUUGAUAGAUUUAUAGGAUAUAUCAUAGAUACUUCUACGGUGCUACCUUUAUUGUAUUUCUUCACCCUUCCUUUCCCUGCAAUGCUUAGUUUCUCUUGUGGCCAUGAAAUUUUUUGCUUUCAAUGCUAUUUUGGUUCAAAGCUUUCUUUAAAGCAUUUUUAUGAGUUUGAAAAGGGUGUUGAACUCACAGUACCAUAUAGAACCAGUCAAUUGGUACCUUGGUUGGUGCUUCAUGAGUGUUGUACUUUUCAUGUACAUCGGCAGGGUUGUUAUCUAAAACUCAUUUAUAUGUAUCGCAGUGAAACAUGAUGAUUUAAAUCAACUUAUUUUAUCUUUAAAUGUUGAAUGGAGUUCUUAGUAUGCAUCUCCCAUGAGUACACAAAAGGAAGUCAUGUACUCCCUCCGGUCUCUUUUAAUUAACUCAAAUUUAGUACACCUUUAUGCUAAAUCAGAGUCAAUGAAAUAGGACCGGAGGGAGUAGUAGGUUUAGCUAGAAAUUAAACACAUCUAACUGUUUGUGUUUUUGUUCUACUGUGUUCUAAAAAUAAAUUCCUGAUAGUUCUUUUCCAAGGACAUGGCUGAUAAGAUUCCUUGCAAGCAACCAGAGGGUUUUAAUAUUACUAUAACAAGUGAUCCAUCUCUUAGUAUUUGUUGUUUGUCUUGAACUUAUUAUUUUCUUUUGUUUUCACAAAUUAGUGAUAUGCAAGAGAAGUAUAAUCCCGAGCUUCAACAUUUUCUCAGUUGGCAAAAAGAUGAAGCCGUAUAGAUGGGUUGUCAUGUGACUGAAGAGGGUCCUCUUAGAUCUGCUGCUGAAACCUUCCCUCUGAGGAUACCGAGAUGUCAUGAAUGAUUUUGGCCAACGUCGACCCUUUGGCGUCGAGUUGUUUAUUUCCUGUAUGAAAGCAAUUAAAACAUGAGUAUCCAGAUCUGGAAAAUACAUUGAUGUGAUAUGGCGAUCUUUGUGCACCAUGGUAUUUUUAAAAUUAUGUACACUAUGUAUAUUGUAUUGUAGUUCUCAGAGGAAAAUGAAACUAUUGUAGUUCAACAUCACAAGAUCUUGAUCAAGAUCAUUUCUUAUAAUGCCUUGCUCCUAUGCAAUAUGAAGAACCUUCUCAGGAAAUCAAAUAUUUCUAUUGUCUGUA